rnacentral:misc_RNA from 1 species
UCUCCGUAGGUGAACCUGCGGAGGGAUCAUUACUGAGUGAGGGCUCACGCCCGACCUCCAACCCUUUGUGAACCAAACCUGUUGCUUCGGGGGCGACCCUGCCGUUCGCGGACGGGCGCCCCCGGGGACCAAUCAACCCUGCAUCAUUUUUUCGUCUGAGUUUAUAACAAAUAAACAAAACUUUCAACAACGGAUCUCUUGGUUCUGGCAUCGAUGAAGAACGCAGC